GGAAAAGAAACCAACAGGGAUUGCCUCAGUAACGGCGAGUGAAGCGGCAAAAGCUCAAAUUUGAAAUCUAGCACCUUCGGUGUUCGAGUUGUAAUUUGAAGAUGGUAACCUUGGGUUUGGCUCUUGUCUAUGUUCCUUGGAACAGGACGUCAUAGAGGGUGAGAAUCCCGUCUGAUGAGAUGCCCAUUCCUAUGUAAGGUGCUAUCGAAGAGUCGAGUUGUUUGGGAAUGCAGCUCUAAGUGGGUGGUAAAUUCCAUCUAAAGCUAAAUAUUGGCGAGAGACCGAUAGCGAACAAGUACAGUGAUGGAAAGAUGAAAAGAACUUUGAAAAGAGAGUGAAAAAGUACGUGAAAUUGUUGAAAGGGAAGGGCAUUAGAUCAGACUUGGUGUUUUACGAUUAUCUUCUCUUCUUGAGUUGUGCACUCGUAUUUCACUGGGCCAGCAUCGAUUCGGAUGGCAAGAUAAUAGCAGUUGAAUGUGGCUUCACUUCGGUGGAGUGUUAUAGCUUCUGUUGAUAUUGCCUGUCUGGAUCGAGGGCUGCGUCUUUUGACUAGGAUGCUGGCGUAAUGAUCUAAUGCCGCCCGUCUUGAAACACGGAC
rnacentral:rRNA from 1 species